rnacentral:rRNA from 1 species
GGACUACUGGGGUAUCUAAUCCUGUUUGCUACCCACGCUUUCGCUGCUCAGUGUCAGUCACCUUCCAGGUUGCCGCCUUCGCCUCUGGUGUUCCUCCCGAUAUCUACGAAUUUCACCUCUACACCGGGAAUUCCGCAACCCUCUCCGGCACUCAAGCCCAGCCAGUUUCGCGCGCACUUUCCCGGUUGAGCCGGGAGCUUUCACACGCGACUUGACAGGCCACCUACCAGCGCUUUACGCCCAAUAAUUCCGAACAACGCUCGCACCCUCUGUAUUACCGCGGCUGCUGGCAC